GAUGAACACUGGCGGCGUGCCUAAUCUAUGCAAGUCGAAUGUAUUCCGAUCGCAAGAUCGGAAUGUCAUGGCGGACGAGUGAGUAAUGCGCAGGAAUGUGCCUUAAAGAGGAAACUAACCCUUCGAAAGAGGGGAUAAUGUUCCAUAAUGUUAACAAACCAAAGAUAGAGGUUUAAAUCUCUAUUGCUUUAAGAUCAGCCUGCGUCCCAUCAGCUAGUUGGUAGGGUAAAAGCCUACCAAGGCUAUAACGGGUAGGGGGCGUGAGAGCGCGAACCCCCACGAUGGCACUGAGAUACGGGCCAUACACCUACGGGUGGCAGCAAGUAGGAAUCGUGCGCAAUGGGCGAAAGCCUGACGCCGCGACGCCGCGUGAGGGAUGAAGGCCUUCGGGUUGUAAACCUAUAUCAAAAAGUCACGGCAAACUUCGUGCCAGCAGCAGCGGUAAUACGAAGGUGGCUAGUGUUAUCCGGUUUUAUUGGGCGUAAAGAGUUCUGUAGGCGGAUUUGUAAGUUAUAUGUUAAAUGCUAUGGCCCAACCAUGGUUUCGCGUGUAAUACUACAAAUCUAGAGUAAGCAAGAGGUUAGCGGAACGUACGGUGUAGUAGUGAAAUGCGUUGAUAUCGUACGGAACACCUAAUGCGAAGGCAGCUAACUGGGGCUUUACUGACGCUGAGAGACGAAAGUGUGGGGAGCAAAACGGAUUAGAUACCCGUGUAGUCCACACCGUAAACUUUGCCGAUUAGGAAGUAGUUCCGAUUUAGUCGGGAUUGCUUUCGAAGCUAACGCAUUAAAUCGGCCGCCUGCGGAGUACGGCCGCAAGGCUAAAACUCAAAGGAAUUGGCGGGGACCCGCACAAGCGGUGGAGCGCCUGGUUUAAUUCGAUGAUUAGCGAAGGACCUUACCUGGGUUUGACAUGCUACUGCACGCCUAUCGAAAGAUAGGAAGCCUUCGAGGGUGUAGCACAGGUGUUGCACGGCUGUCGUCAGCUCGAGUCGUGAGAUGUACGGUUAAGUCCGGUAUCGAGCGCAACCCCUAUCGUUAAUUGUAUCACUUUAGCGAAACUGCCCCGGCAACGGGGAGGAAGGAGGGGACGACGUCAAGUCAGCGUGGCCCUUAUAUCCAGGGCGACACAGGCGCUACAAUGGCUAUUACAAAGGGUUGCAAGCAUGCGAAUGCAAGCUAAUCCCAAAAAAAUAGCCCCAGUACAGAUUGGAGUCUGCAACUCGACUCCAUGAAGAAGGAAUCGCUAGUAAUCGCUGGUCAGCCAUACAGCGGUGAAUACGUUCUCGGGUCUUGCACACACCGCCCGUCACUUGGGGGAAGUUGGAAAUAUCUGAAAUCUCAUCUAAGAUGGGCCUAAGGUAGAGCCAAUAACCAACAAU
rnacentral:rRNA from 1 species